rnacentral:rRNA from 1 species
CCUACGGGUGGCAGCAGUGGGGAAUAUUGGGCAAUGGGCGCAAGCCUGACCCAGCAACGCCGCGUGAAGGAAGAAGGCUUUCGGGUUGUAAACUUCUUUUUACAGGGAAGAGUAGAAGACGGUACCUGUCGAAUAAGCCACGGCUAACUACGUGCCAUCAGCCGCGGUAAUACGUAGGUGGCAGGCGUUGUCCGGAUUUACUGGGUGUAAAGGGCUUGUAGGCGGGUUGACAAGUCAGAUGUGAAAUCCUGGGGCUUAACCGCAGAACUGCAUUUGAAACUGUUGAUCUUGAGUACUGGAGAGGCAGACGGAAUGCGUAGUGUAGCGGUGAAAUGCGUAGAUAUUAGGAGGAACACCAGUGGCGAAGGCGGUAUGCUGGACAGCAACUGACGGUGAGGCGCGAAAGCGUGGGGAGCGAACAGGAUUAGAUACCCGGGUAGUC